rnacentral:lncRNA from 1 species
UCUUCAGCGUUUAAUUCCAGGCUCAAACUUGGACAGUGAACCCAGAAUUCAAACAGAUAUACUAAAGCAGGCUACCAAGGACAGAGUCAGUGAUUUCCAUAAAUUGAAGCAAAGAAAUUCCUUGAUAUUUUAAAGCAUAUCUGUGUAUCUUGACCAAAGUAUUGUGUGAAAAACAUUUUUAUUACAAAGAUUUAGCUAACAUUUUAAAUAUAAUGAAAAAAUAUUUCCUCAAAAUUGGGUUGGGGGAUUGGCCUGAAAACUUAC